GACGAACGCUGGCGGCGUGCUUAACACAUGCAAGUCGAGCGGAGCGGCGAACGGGUGAGUAACGCGUGAGUAACUGCCCCCCUCUCUGGGCUAACAGUUGGAAACGGCUGCUAAUACCGGAUAGUUGGGGAUGACUCGCGUCCAAUCAGCUUGUUGGUGGGGUAGUGGCCUACCAAGGCGACGCCGGGUAGCCGGCCUGAGAGGGCGACCGGCCACAGUGGGCUGGGAUGCGGCCAAAAAUCUUACGGGAGGCAGCAGUGGGGAAUAUUGCACAAUGGGGGAAACCCUGAUGGAGCAACGCCGCGUGCGGGAUGACGGCCUUCGGGUUGUAAACCGCUUUCAGCCAUGACGCGGUAGUGGCAGAAGAAGCACCGGCUAACUACGUGCCAGCAGCCGCGGUAAUUC
rnacentral:rRNA from 1 species